AUUUUUAGACUCCUCACAACUCGAGCUUCGCGUAGGCCCUUCCGGAUUCGAAUUCCGAUGCUGUUGGCAAGACCGGCUUUCAGACCCCGGUGCUUUUCGGCCGUGCGAAAUAUUACAAUUUCGACUCGGUAUAAUUUUAUUUAGACCUUAAAAAUUAUGUUGUAAUUUUAGAAAAAUAUUGUGGCUAUUAAUUAUUAGUGAUGGAUAAAUUAAAAAUUAUUUGG
rnacentral:lncRNA from 1 species